GACGGAGGAUGCAAGCGUUAUCCGGAAUGAUUGGGCGUAAAGCGUCCGCAGGUGGCCGUUCAAGUCUGCUGUCAAAGACCGGGGCUUAACUUCGGAAAGGCAGUGGAAACUGAACAGCUAGAGUAUGGUAGGGGCAGAGGGAAUUCCUGGUGUAGCGGUGAAAUGCGUAGAUAUCGGGAGGAACACCAGUAGCGAAGGCGACACUCUGGGCCGGUACUGACGCUGAGGAGCGAAAGCGUGGGGAGCAAACAGG
rnacentral:rRNA from 1 species